GUGAACGCUGGCGGUAGGCCUAACACAUGCAAGUCGAACGGCAGCACAGUAAGAGCUUGCUCUUACGGGUGGCGAGUGGCGGACGGGUGAGGAAUACAUCGGAAUCUACUUUUUCGUGGGGGAUAACGUAGGGAAACUUACGCUAAUACCGCAUACGACCUACGGGUGAAAGCAGGGGAUCUUCGGACCUUGCGCGAUUGAAUGAGCCGAUGUCGGAUUAGCUAGUUGGCGAGGUAAAGGCCCACCAAGGCGACGAUCCGUAGCUGGUCUGAGAGGAUGAUCAGCCACACUGGAACUGAGACUCGGUCCAGACUCCUACGGGAGGCAGCAGUGGGGAAUAUUGGACAAUGGGCGCAAGCCUGAUCCAGCCAUACCGCGUGGGUGAAGAAGGCCUUCGGGUUGUAAAGCCCUUUUGUUGGGAAAGAAAAGCAGCAGGUUAAUACCCCGCUGUUCUGACGGUACCCAAAGAAUAAGCACCGGCUAACUUCGUG
rnacentral:rRNA from 1 species